rnacentral:rRNA from 1 species
ACAUAAACAUACAAGACGAGAAGACCCUAUGGAGCUUUAGACACUAGCCAACUGUGAUAAGCGACUGAACUGAACAAGUCCUAAAUACCCGCAGCCUUAUGGUAAUGUAGUCUUAGGUUGGGGCGACCACGGGAGAAAGUAAAGCUCCCAAGCAGACCGGGAAAACCCUUAAGCCGAGAGUUGCAACUCUAAGCCGCAAAAUUUUUGACUGAUAUGAUCCGGUUGAAAAACCGAUUAACGAACCAAGUUAC